GACGAACGCUGGCGGCGUGCUUAACACAUGCAAGUCGAACGAAGAGCGAUGGAAGCUUGCUUCUAUCAAUCUUAGUGGCGAACGGGUGAGUAACGCGUAAUCAACCUGCCCUUUAGAGGGGGACAACAGUUGGAAACGACUGCUAAUACCGCAUACGCUCUAAUCUCGGCAUCGAGGAUAGAUGAAAGGUGGCCUCUACAUGUAAGCUAUCACUGAAGGAGGGGAUUGCGUCUGAUUAGCUAGUUGGAGGGGUAACGGCCCACCAAGGCGAUGAUCAGUAGCCGGGCUGCGAGGAUGAACGGCCACAUUGGGAGGGAGACACGGCCCAGACUCCUACGGGAGGCAGCAGGGGGGAAUCUUCCGCAAUGGACGAAAGUCUGACGGAGCAACGCCGCGUGAGUGAUGACGGCCGUCGGGUUGUAAAGCUCUGUUAAUCGGGACGAAAGGCCUUCUUGCGAAUAGUGAGAAGGAUUGACGGUACCGGAAUAGAAAGCCACGGCUAACUACGUG
rnacentral:rRNA from 1 species